rfam:Bacteroidetes bacterium 4484_276 ex4484_276_scaffold_2676, whole genome shotgun sequence.
UUCCGGAUGGAAAAAUUUGAUUGAUUGCAACCAUUAAAAAAAAUGCUAAAACAAUUCGU